GACGAACGCUGGCGGCGUGCUUAACACAUGCAAGUCGAACGGAAAGGCCCCUUUGGGGGUACUCGAGUGGCGCACGGGUGAGUAACACGUGAGUAACCUGCCCUUGACUUCGGGAUAACUUCAGGAAACUGGGGCUAAUACCGGAUAGGAAUCCUUGCUGCAUGGUGGGGGUUGGAAAGCUUCGGCGGUUUUGGAUGGACUCGCGGCUUAUCAGCUUGUUGGUGGGGUAGUGGCUUACCAAGGCUUUGACGGGUAGCCGGCCUGAGAGGGCGACCGGCCACAUUGGGACUGAGAUACGGCCCAGACUCCUACGGGAGGCAGCAGUGGGGAAUAUUGCACAAUGGGCGGAAGUCUGAUGCAGCAACGCCGCGUGCGGGAUGACGGCCUUCGGGUUGUAAACCGCUUUCAGCAGGGGCGAAGCUUGUGGUGACGGUACCUGCAGAAGAAGCACCGGCUAACUACGUG
rnacentral:rRNA from 1 species